CAGAAAAAGCAGAAGGAAGAGGAGAGGAAGAGAAAGAGAGAAGCAAAGAGCUCCCUGGAAGGUGGGAAGGUGAGAGCAAGAAUUAGGUUCCUCCUUUCUGAACUAUGUUUCCAUGGCAGAGUGAGCCACCAAGCACCAGACCCUUUGAGGACUGCCAUCAACGACAAAUGUUCUUUUAUAGAACACAGCUCCAGAGAUGUGACAUACAGAGUGUGGCAUACACAUGGUGAACAGCCUGGGAAGAAGAAGGAAGGGCUGUGGUGGGGAGGGAACUCUUGUUUUUCUCCAGCUGAUUGAUGGGGACUUAGAAAAGCUGGAGUGGGAAGGGGUUCUCUUCUGGGCAUUUGAGAAACAGAGAUGCUGAAGCAGAUUCAUCUUGACUUCUGAGCUCAGGAAGAGAUAGAUGGGGUCCUACCCUGAUAGGCUGACCCUAGGAAGUCAUGUUUCAAAGAGGAAAUCUGAAAUCCCAGGUUAAGCUGGGAAAACCUAGAAUGAGCCCUAGCUCAUAUCUUGUCAGAAGCUGCUAGGCUCCAUCUGAAUAUAGUACAGUGCUCAAGAGUAGGGCCAGACACCAUGGAUCACAUCCUGGGCCUUCCUGAGAAAGUAGGGACAUACUACCCUGUACUUCAGUUUCCUUAUUAUAAAGAGGGACCAUCAGCUGAUCUAUGCCAUAGCUCUGUUGUGGGCAUCAAACCUAAGGGCCUGGUGAAUACUAUAUAUUAUUUGUAUCAUUAAUUUAUUUGGCUAUCAUAGACUCUCAUGCAGCCCUUGUCAUGGAGAGAGAAAGAGAAGAUGGCUUCCCUCAAGCAGGCAGAGAUUCUGUGCUUUGUCACCUUGUCUGUGAUAUCUGCUGUCUUGAGGUUAUUAUUGCUGUGAUGAAACACCUUAUUCAAAUCAUCUUGGUGAGGAAAGGGUUUAUUGGGCUUACACUUCCAUAUCACUGAAUAUUACUAAAGGAAAUCAGGACAGGAACUCGAACAGGGCAGGAAGUUGGAAGCAGGAGCUGAUACAGAGGCCACGAAGGAGUACUGCUUACUGGCUUGCUUCUCAUGAGUUGGUUAGCCUGCUUUCUUAUACAUCCCAGGACUGCCAGCCCCUGCUGCAAUGGGCUAAGCACUCCCCUUAAAUCACUAAUUAAGAAAAUGCCCUACAGGCUUGCCCACAGCCAGAUCUUGUGGAAGCAUUUUCUUAAUUGAAGCUCCCUUAUCUAUCAUGACUCUAGCUUUCUUUAAGUUGACACAAACCAGCCAGUACAUCUGCUGUAGUGGCAAAGAAGAAUCUUUAGUUUUGAUACAUAUGGUGUCAAGUAUUGUACAGAUGUAAGUGUUCUUGGAAAUUAGGAAGAAACAGUCUGCUUGAAGACCCACAUUUGGGAAGCUGUCAAGACCUAUAAUUGUCUUCUUGAUAUCAUAAUUUAUUUUGAAAUUAAUUAAUUAAUUAAUUAACUUUAUGGUACAAUCUUAGAUUCCCCUCCCUCUUCUCCUACCAUUCCCCUACCUAACUUCCCUUCCUGUCCACUACUCUUCUUUUCAGAAGAUGGGAGGCCUCCCAUAGUUAUCAACCAGUCUUGGCUUAUCAGGUUGCAGUGUGACUGGGCACAUCUUCUCCUAUUAAUCUAGACGAGGCAGCCCAGGAUUGGGAAAAAGUCCAGAAACAGAUCUUGCUCCCAGUGUUAGGAGUCCCUCAUGAAGCCCAAGCUAUACAACUGCUACAUAUGUGCAUAGGACUUAAGUUAGUCCCAUGCAUGCUUUCUGGUUGGUGAUUCAGUCUCUGUCUGCCCCAUGGGCCCAGGUUACUUUAUUCUGUAGGUUUUGUUUGUUUGUUUGUUUGUUUGUUU
rnacentral:lncRNA from 1 species